rnacentral:rRNA from 1 species
AUUGAACGCUGGCGGCAGGCCUAACACAUGCAAGUCGAGCGAGCGGCGGACGGGUGAGUAUUGUAUGGGGACUGCCCGCUAGAGGGGGGUAACUACAGGAAACGGUAGCUACUACCGCAGACCAUCUGAUAACCCUUAUGGGUUAAGCUGGUAGGUGAGGUAAUGGCUCACCUAGGCGAUGAUCCCUAUCUGGUCUGCGAGGAUGAUCAGCAACACUGGGACGGGGACACGGCCCAGAUUCCUACGGAGGCAGCAGUGGGGAAUAUUGCACAAUGGGCGAAAGCCUGAUGCAGCCAUGCCGCGUGUAGGAAGAAGGCCCUAGGGUUGAAAAGUACUUUCAGUCGGGAGGCGUUACCGGCAGAAGAAGCACCGGCUAACUCCGUGCCAGCAGCCGCGGUAAUUC